GACGAACGCUGGCGGCGUGCUUAACACAUGCAAGUCGAACGAUGAAGAAAAGAAUCGAAGCUUCGGCAGAAAUUCAUUUCGGAUUAGUGGCAGACGGGUGAGUAACGCGUGAGCAACCUACCUCUUACAAAGGGAUAGCCUCGGGAAACCGGGAUUAAUACCAUAUAACAUUGUGACGAAGCAUUUCGAUGCAAUCAAAGCUACGGCGGUAAGAGAUGGGCUCGCGUCCCAUUAACCGGAUGGUGAGGUAACGGCUCACCAUAGUGACGAUGGGUAACCGGCCUGAGAGGGUGAACGGUCACACUGGAACUGAGACACGGUCCAGACUCCUACGGGAGGCAGCAGUGGGGAAUAUUGCACAAUGGAGGGAACUCUGAUGCAGCGACGCCGCGUGAGUGAUGAAGGAAUUCGUUUCGUAAAACUCUGUUCUAUGGGAAGAAAAGGACUGCACCAUAGGAGAAAGCUCCGGCUAAAUACGUG
rnacentral:rRNA from 1 species